rnacentral:rRNA from 1 species
AGAAUCAACGCUGGCGGCGUGCCUCAGACAUGCAAGUCGAACGCGAAAGUUUCCUUCGGGAAGCGAGUAGAGUGGCGCACGGGUGAGUAACACGUAAGUAAUCUACCCUUGGGUGGGGAAUAACAUCGGGAAACCGAUGCUAAUACCGCAUAAUGCAGCGGCUUCUUAUGAAGACAGUUGUUAAAGCAUUUAUGUGCCUGAGGAGGAGCUUGCGGCAGAUUAGCUAGUUGGUAAGGUAAUGGCUUACCAAGGCUACGAUCUGUAUCCGACCUGAGAGGGUGGUCGGACACACUGACACUGAAUAACGGGUCAGACUCCUACGGGAGGCAGCAGUCGGGAAUUUUGGGCAAUGGGCGAAAGCCUGACCCAGCAACGCCGCGUGAAGGAUGAAGUUUUUCGGAAUGUAAACUUCGUAAAAUAGGAAGAAUAAAUGACGGUACUAUUUGUAAGGUCCGGACUAACUACGUGCCAGCAGCCGC